rnacentral:rRNA from 1 species
UACGUAGGGGUGAGACGUUACUCGGAAUUACUGGGCGUAAAGGGCGCGUAGGCGGCUUAUCAAGUCAGGCGUGAAAUUCCCGGGCUCAACCUGGGGGCUGCGCUUGAUACUGAUUGGCUUGAAUGCGGGAGAGGAUAGUGGAAUUCCCAGUGUAGAGGUGAAAUUCGUAGAUAUUGGGAAGAACACCGGUGGCGAAGGCGGCUAUCUGGCCCGUAAUUGACGCUGAGGCGCGAAAGCGUGGGGAGCAAACAGG